UACGUAGGGCGCGAGCGUUGUCCGGAAUUAUUGGGCGUAAAGAGCUCGUAGGCGGCCUGUUGCGUCCGCUGUGAAAUCCCAGGGCUCAACCCUGGGCGUGCAGUGGAUACGGGCAGGCUGGAGGCAGGCAGGGGAGAACGGAAUUCCCGGUGUAGCGGUGAAAUGCGCAGAUAUCAGGAGGAACACCGGUGGCGGAAAGGCGGGGUCUCUGGGCCGAUA
rnacentral:rRNA from 1 species